UCGAGCGUGGUGCAUGGUGCACAGCUGCCCACUUAGGUCGGAUUUCAUCAAUUGUGCAGGCAGCAAGCCGGGGUUCGAUUCCCCGCGCUCGAG